rnacentral:tRNA from 1 species
GUCAUUAUAGUGUAAAUAACACAUUACACUUUCACUGUAAAAAUAAAGGUCUUCCUUUUAAAGAUC